UGUUCCCUCUGGCGGCGUGCCUAAUACAUGCAAGUCGAGCGAACAGAUGAGGAGCUUGCUCCUCUGACGUUAGCGGCGGACGGGUGAGUAACACGUGGAUAACCUACCUAUAAGACUGGGAUAAAUUCGGGAAACCGGAGCUAAUACCGGAUAAUAUAUUGAACUGCAUGGUUCAAUAGUGAAAGACGGUUUUGCUGUCACUUAUAGAUGGAUCCGCGCCGCAUUAGCUAGUUGGUAAGGUAACGGCUUACCAAGGCAACGAUGCGUAGCCGACCUGAGAGGGUGAUCUGCCACACUGGAACUGAGACACGGUCCAGACUCCUACGGGAGGCAGCAGUAGGGAAUCUUCCGCAAUGGGCGAAAGCCUGACGGAGCAACGCCGCGUGAGUGAUGAAGGUCUUCGGAUCGUAAAACUCUGUUAUUAGGGAAGAACAAAUGUGUAAGUAACUAUGCACGUCUUGACGGUACCUAAUCAGAAAGCCACGGCUAACUACGUG
rnacentral:rRNA from 1 species